CUUUAAAACCACACAUUAAAACCCUUAACCCCUUAAGGACACAUGACAUGUCUGACAUGUCAUGAUUCCCUUUUAUUCCAGAAGUUUGGUCCUUAAGGGGUUAAAGACAUGGUAGCCAUUGCCAAUCCCACAUUUGAAGACACUAUGGCUGUGGAGACCGGGUUUUCAGAUACUAAUCUAUAGCUUGAAUGGAUGAGGUAUAAUGCUAAUUCACACAACAAAACUAAUUGUUAUGUUUGUGGUGGGGCCAGACCCCAUCUGGGUACAGUGCCUUUAAAUCUACCUGAAGAUGUUGAGAUGUGUUUCUUAAGCCUCUAUGCACAGUCAGCAGUGAAUUCAUCAGUGUGUGAAUCCACCUG